rnacentral:rRNA from 1 species
CGGCACCUCAAGUGGUCAGGAUGAUUAUUGGGCCUAAAGCAUCCGUAGCCGGCUCCGUAAGUUUUCGGUUAAAUCUGUACGCUCAACGUACAGGCUGCCGGGAAUACUGCAGAGCUAGGGAGUGGGAGAGGUAGACGGUACUCGGUAGGAAGGGGUAAAAUCCUUUGAUCUAUUGAUGACCACCUGUGGCGAAGGCGGUCUACCAGAACACGUCCGACGGUGAGGGAUGAAAGCUGGGGGAGCAAACCGGAUUAGAUACCCGAGUAGUCC